ensembl:lncRNA
UUUUUAUUUUUUUAUUUUUUAGUAGAGAUGGGGUUUCACCAUGUUGGCCAGGCUGGUCUCCAACUCCUGACCUCAAGUGAUCUACCUGUCUUGACUUCCCAAACUGCUGGGAUUACAGGCAAACAAUGGGCUAUUUAAAUUCAAAAAUUAAUAACAGGUUUUGAGGAAAAUAAAAUUUCUGCACCAGUUAAGGGUACAGAAAUUCAGAAUGCUGCUGUCAGGGAGGAUUCUAUUUUAAAUACAUCAGCUGAAACCUCUCAAUGGGCAAUACUUGAAUGGAACCCCCAAACUAUGAAGAAUCAAGUCGUGCAAAGACCUGUAAGAAGAGCAUUGUAGGCACAGACCCCUGUACAGAGGAGCAUGUGGCUGAAGCAUGGGGAGAGCAGGUAGGGAACGAUGUUGGAGAGAUGGGCAGGAGUUGAGUAGGCAGCUGACUAAGGAGAAUUUUGACUUUAAGUACGAUACAAGGCCAUUUAGGAACUAUAAGUAAAAUCACAUGCCUGAAAAAGCUUACUGUUGGUACUACAUGAAGAAUAAUUUGUAGACUUAGAUAUGGAAGCAGUGAAGCAGUCUGAGGCUCUGCAGUAAUCUGAGAGAUAACAAUGGCCUUGAUUAGAGUAUUAAUGAAAAAGAUGGUGAGUAUACAGACACCAAUAAUAGUGCCAAGCACUAUUCUGCUGGCUUUGUAUUUAUUUGCUUGACUCUCAUGUUCAAUAUUUGAACCAUUUAUUAACAAUCCUACGAAAUAAAUACUAAAAGUACACCCACUUUACAAAUACAGAGAAAAAAGCAGAGUGAAUGUAAAUCAAUUCCUCAAGACUACACAUGUAAUAACUAAAAAGGGGAUGUGAAGGUUUAGCCAAAUGAAAAGUUAGAGGGAACAGCCCACACACAAGAUCACCUUCACUUCUGAUACCAGCUACAAGUUUGAGGUCCCCAAGACCACUCUAUGGUUUUAUAAUCCACUAAAACUCACAGGACACAUUGAAGGCUAUUUUGCUCAUGGUUAGGGUUUCUUACAGAUUGAAAUCAGCCAAGGGAAAACAUUCAUAGAGUGGAGUCCAAAAAAGUAUCAAACAUGGAGGUUCCAACUGCCCUCUCCUUGUGGGGUCAAGACAGCAGGAAUUUCUCCACAUUUCUGUAUGACAAUAUUCAUGGAGAACUCCCAACAAGGAAGCUCACUUGACUUUGGUGUUCAGAGGUUUUAUUGGGGCUCCAUCAUGUAGACAAGAUUGAUUGCCCAAGUGUUUGAUCUCAGUCCUUAGUCUCCCUGGAACUCUACUGAUACUGUGUGACUCACCCUUCCUGUCUCCAAAUCAUACUGCUGAUUCUUCUGGUGUGUCCAUCCUCCACUCUAAACCAUGUUGUUAAGACUAUUCUGACCCAAGGUUCACAGGCAAAUAAAGACACUUCCCUCAGGCAUGACACACCAAGGGCUUAGAAAUUACCUUACAGAAGUCAAGGACAAAAGCAAAAUCUAUCUUUGGGCAAUGUUAGAUUCUUUACUACACAGAGGAAGAAAGGGAUAUGAGAGAAGUGAAGAGUUCUUUUUCACCCAUGUUAAAUUUGAGAUGAACAUUUUAUAUC